AGGGGCCUUCAACACAUCGGCAAGUCGAGCUUAUGAAGGGAGCUUGCCUUGGAUUCAGCGGCGGACGGGUGAGUAAUGCCUAGGAAUCUGCCUGGUAGUGGGGGAUAACGUCCGGAAACGGGCGCUAAUACCGCAUACGUCCUGAGGGAGAAAGUGGGGGAUCUUCGGACCUCACGCUAUCAGAUGAGCCUAGGUCGGAUUAGCUAGUUGGUGGGGUAAAGGCCUACCAAGGCGACGAUCCGUAACUGGUCUGAGAGGAUGAUCAGUCACACUGGAACUGAGACACGGUCCAGACUCCUACGGGAGGCAGCAGUGGGGAAUAUUGGACAAUGGGCGAAAGCCUGAUCCAGCCAUGCCGCGUGUGUGAAGAAGGUCUUCGGAUUGUAAAGCACUUUAAGUUGGGAGGAAGGGCAGUAAGUUAAUACCUUGCUGUUUGACGUUACCAACAGAAUAAGCACCGGCUAACUUCGUGCCAGCAGCCGCGGUAAUACGAAGGGUGCAAGCGUUAAUCGGAAUUACUGGGCGUAAAGCGCGCGUAAGUGGUUCAGCAAGUUGGAUGUGAAAUCCCCGGGCUCAACCUGGGAACUGCAUCCAAAACUACUGAGCUAGAGUACGGUAGAGGGUGGUGGAAUUUCCUGUGUAGCGGUGAAAUGCGUAGAUAUAGGAAGGAACACCAGUGGCGAAGGCGACCACCUGGACUGAUACUGACACUGAGGUGCGAAAGCGUGGGGAGCAAACAGGAUUAGAUACCCUGGUAGUCCACGCCGUAAACGAUGUCGACUAGCCGUUGGGAUCCUUGAGNAUCUUAGUGGCGCACGUAACGCGAUAAGUCGACCGCCUGGGGAGUACGGCCGCAAGGUUNACAAAACUCAAAUGAA
rnacentral:rRNA from 1 species